GGGGAAAAAAGAAAGAAACGGAACCACGCGGUGUGCAGCCUUCUGAGUCUGGCCCCUUUCGAAGACACAGUCUGUCCAGCACAAAGUUACUUAGUCCCCAGAUGUCUGGAGAAGAGGAGGAUUCUGACUUGGCAGCCAAACUUGGAAUGUGCAAUAGAGAAAUAGUACGAAGAGGGGCUCUCAUUCUCUUCUGUGAUUAUGUCUGUCAGAACCUCCAUGACUCCGAGCACUUAACGUGGCUCAUUGUAAAUCACAUUCAAGAUCUGAUCAGCCUUUCCCACGAGCCU
rnacentral:lncRNA from 10 species